rnacentral:rRNA from 1 species
UGGGGAAUAUUGCGCAAUGGGGGGAACCCUGACGCAGCAACGCCGCGUGGAGGAAGAAGGCCUUCGGGUCGUAAACUCCUGUCAUCAGGGACGAUAAUGACGGUACCUGAGGAGGAAGCCACGGCUAACUACGUGCCAGCAGCCGCGGUAAUACGUAGGUGGCGAGCGUUGUCCGGAAUUACUGGGCGUAAAGGGUGCGUAGGCGGAAUCUUAAGUCAGAUGUGAAAACCCAGGGCUUAACUUUGGGAUUGCAUUUGAAACUGAGGUUCUAGAGUGCAGGAGAGGGAAGCGGAAUUCCUAGUGUAGCGGUGAAAUGCGUAGAUAUUAGGAAGAACACCAGUGGCGAAGGCGGCUUUCUGGACUGUAACUGACGCUGAGGCACGAAAGCGUGGGGAGCAAACAGG